rnacentral:rRNA from 1 species
UACCAGCUCUCCGAGUGGUGUGGAUGUUUAUUGGGCCUAAAGCAUCCGUAGCUGGCUGGGCAAGUCCCCUGUUAAAUCCACCGAUUUAAUCGUUGGUGUGCGGGGGAUACUGUUCGGCUAGGGGACGGGAGAGGCCGACGGUAUUUUCGGGGUAGGGGUGAAAUCCUAUAAUCCCGGGAAGACCACCAGUGGCGAAGGCUGUCGGCUAGAACGCGCCCGACGGUGAGGGAUGAAAGCUGGGGGAGCGAACCGGAUUAGAUACCCGGGUAGUCCCAGCUGUAAACGAUGCAGGCUAGGUGUUUGGGCGGCCACGUGCCGCUCUAGUGCCGCAGAGAAGUCGUUAAGCCUGCCGCCUGGGGAGUACGGCCGCAAGGCUGAAACUUAAAGGAAUUGGCGGGGGAGCACCGACAAGGGGUGAAGCUUGGCGGUUU